GAGCCGCUAGCUCAUCUGGCAGAGCAACGCCCUUUUAAGGCGUGGGUGCCGGGUUCGAUCCCCGGGCGGCUCA
rnacentral:tRNA from 1 species